AUGAACGCUGGCGGCGUGCCUAACACAUGCAAGUCGAGCGAAGCACUUUGCUUAGAUUCUUCGGAUGAAGAGGAUUGUGACUGAGCGGCGGACGGGUGAGUAACGCGUGGGUAACCUGCCUCGUACAGGGGGAUAACAGUUAGAAAUGACUGCUAAUACCGCAUAAGACCACAGCACCGCAUGGUGCAGGGGUAAAAACUCCGGUGGUAUGAGAUGGACCCGCGUCUGAUUAGCUAGUUGGUAAGGUAACGGCUUACCAAGGCGACGAUCAGUAGCCGACCUGAGAGGGUGACCGGCCACAUUGGGACUGAGACACGGCCCAAACUCCUACGGGAGGCAGCAGUGGGGAAUAUUGCACAAUGGGGGAAACCCUGAUGCAGCGACGCCGCGUGAGCGAAGAAGUAUUUCGGUAUGUAAAGCUCUAUCAGCAGGGAAGAAAAUGACGGUACCUGACUAAGAAGCACCGGCUAAAUACGUGCCAGCAGCCGCGGUAAUACGUAUGGUGCAAGCGUUAUCCGGAUUUACUGGGUGUAAAGGGAGCGUAGACGGAUGGGCAAGUCUGAUGUGAAAACCCGGGGCUCAACCCCGGGACUGCAUUGGAAACUGUUCAUCUAGAGUGCUGGAGAGGUAAGUGGAAUUCCUAGUGUAGCGGUGAAAUGCGUAGAUAUUAAGGAGGAACACCAGUGGCGAAGGCGGCUUACUGGACAGUAACUGACGUUGAGGCUCGAAAGCGUGGGGAGCCAAACGGAUUAGAUACCCUGGUAGUCCACGCCCGUAACGAUGACUACUAGGUGUCGGGGGGCAAAGCCAUUCGGUGCCGCAGCAAACGCAAUAAGUAGUCCACCUGGGGAGGUACGUUCGCAAGAAUGAAACUCAAAGGAAUUGACGGGGACCCGCACAAGCGGUGGAGCAUGUGGUUUAAUUAGAAGCAACGCGAAGAACCUUACCUGCUCUUGACAUCCCGCUGACCGGACGGUAAUGCGUCCUUCCCUUCGGGGCAGCGGAGACUGGUGGUGCAUGGUUGUCGUCAGCUCGUGUCGUGAGAUGUUGGGUUAAGUCCCGCAACGAGCGCAACCCCUAUCUUUAGUAGCCAGCGGCCAGGCCGGGCACUCUAGAGAGACUGCCGGGGAUAACCCGGAGGAAGGUGGGGAUGACGUCAAAUCAUCAUGCCCCUUAUGAGCAGGGCUACACACGUGCUACAAUGGCGUAAACAAAGGGAAGCGAGACCGCGAGGUGGAGCAAAUCCCAAAAAUAACGUCUCAGUUCGGAUUGUAGUCUGCAACUCGACUACAUGAAGCUGGAAUCGCUAGUAAUCGCGAAUCAGAAUGUCGCGGUGAAUACGUUCCCGGGUCUUGUACACACCGCCCGUCACACCAUGGGAGUCAGUAACGCCCGAAGUCAGUGACCCAACCGUAAGGAGGGAGCUGCCGAAGGCGGGACCGAUAACUGGGGUGAAGUC
rnacentral:rRNA from 1 species